rnacentral:rRNA from 1 species
GACGAACCGUGCGAACGUUGUUCGGAAUCACUGGGCUUAAAGAGCGCGCAGGCGGUCGUUCAAGUCGAGUGUGAAAGCCCCCGGCUCAACUGGGGAGGGUCACUCGAUACUGAUCGACUCGAAGGCAGGAGAGGGAAGCGGAAUUCCCGGUGUAGUGGUGAAAUGCGUAGAUAUCGGGAGGAACACCAGUGGCGAAGGCGGCUUUCUGGUCAGUAACUGACGCUGAGGCGCGAAAGCGUGGGGAGCAAACAGG